GUGGGGGAUAUUGCACAAUGGGGGAAACCCUGAUGCAGCAACGCCGCGUGAGUGAAGAAGGUCUUCGGAUUGUAAAGCUCUGUUCUUGGUGAAGAUAAUGACGGUAGCCAAGGAGAAAGCUCCGGCUAACUACGUGCCAGCAGCCGCGGUAAUACGUAGGGAGCGAGCGUUGUCCGGAUUUACUGGGUGUAAAGGGUGCGCAGGCGGCUCUGCAAGUCAGGCGUGAAAGCUAGGGGCUCAACCCCUAAACUGCGCUUGAAACUGUGGAGCUUGAGUGAAGUAGAGGCAGGCGGAAUUCCCGGUGUAGCGGUGAAAUGCGUAGAGAUCGGGAGGAACACCAGUGGCGAAGGCGGCCUGCUGGGCUUUAACUGACGCUCAGGCACGAAAGCAUGGGUAGCAAACAGGA
rnacentral:rRNA from 1 species